rnacentral:rRNA from 1 species
AGAGUUUGAUCAUGGCUCAGAACGAACGCUGGCGGCAGGCCUCAAACAUGCAAGUCUAGGGGGCGUAGCAAUACGUCACCGGCGGACGGGUGCGUAACACGUGGGAAUGUACUUAUUGGUUCGGAACAACUCAGGGAAACUUGAGCUAAUACCGAAUGUGCCCGAAAGGGGAAAGAUUUAUCGCCAAUGAAUCAGCCCGCGUCCGAUUAGCUAGUUGGUGGGGUAAAGGCUCACCAAGGCGACGAUCGGUAGCUGUUCUGAGAGGAAGAUCAGCCACACUGGGACUGAGACACGGCCCAGACUCCUACGGGAGGCAGCAGUUGGGAAUCUUGGACAAUGGGGGAAACCCUGAUCCAGCCAUGCCGCGUGAGUGAUGAAGGCCUUAGGGUUGUAAAACUCUUUCGGCGGGGACGAUAAUGACGGUACCCGCAGAAGAAGCUCCGGCUAACUUCGUGCCAGCAGCCGCGGUAAUACGAAGGGGGGCUAGCGUUGUUCGGAAUUACUGGGCGUAAAGCGUGCGCAGGCGGUUUUCCAAGUCAGUGGUGAAAGCCCGGAGCUCAACUCCCGGAACUGCCAUUGAAACUGUGAAACUCGAGUACGAGAGAGGUGAGUGGAAUUCCCAGUGUAGAGGUGAAAUUCGUAGAUAUUGGGAAGAACACCGGUGGCGAAGGCGGCUCACUGGCUCGUAACUGACGCUCAUGCACGACAGCGUGGGGAUCAAACAGGAUUAGAUACCCCAGUAGUCC